UACGGAGGGGACUAGCGUUGUUCGGAAUUACUGGGCGUAAAGCGCACGUAGGCGGAUUUGUAAGUCAGGGGUGAAAUCCCGGGGCUCAACCUCGGAACUGCCUUUGAUACUGCAAAUCUCGAGUCCGGAAGAGGUGAGUGGAACUCCGAGUGUAGAGGUGAAAUUCGUAGAUAUUCGGAAGAACACCAGUGGCGAAGGCGGCUCACUGGUCCGGUACUGACGCUGAGGUGCGAAAGCGUGGGGAGCAAACAGG
rnacentral:rRNA from 1 species